rnacentral:rRNA from 1 species
UACAGAGGUCUCAAGCGUUGUUCGGAUUCAUUGGGCGUAAAGGGUGCGUAGGUGGCGCCGUAAGUCAGGUGUGAAAUUUCGGAGCUUAACUCCGAAACUGCAUUUGAUACUGCGGUGCUUGAGGACUGGAGAGGAGACUGGAAUUCACGGUGUAGCAGUGAAAUGCGUAGAUAUCGUGAGGAAGACCAGUGGCGAAGGCGGGUCUCUGGACAGUUCCUGACACUGAGGCACGAAGGCUAGGGGGAGCAAACGGG